AGGUUAGGUCCUGCUGAAUUAGAAGGAAAACAUGGCGACAACCCUCUUCCUUACUAGUAUUGCAUAAUGUGUUUUAUAAUCCAGUGCACUUUAUGUAUAAAAAUAGUCCAGAAAAUAGCCGUUUAUUGUAAUUCAGUGCGCUUUUUAGUCCGAAAGAAAAAAAAAAACAGUAUAUAAGCUCCAUCUCGCAAUACUGUUCAAAUGAAAGUCAACGUCCCCAUGUUUGAAUAUAUCCAAAAUGAAGAAUAGAGUCACUUGACUGUAAAAUCUGUAAUAAUAAAUCUUAUAUAUGUAAUAGCACGUCCACACAAUCUGCUCCACAGGUUAGGAAGUGAAGUCUGGAGCAGCAGGGUGAGUGAGUGAUUAACCAAAAGCACUAAAUCUGCUUUGGUCAUCAUGGGUUACUCAAACUGAGCCCAAAGUCCAGCACAAACACACACACACACACAGAGAAAGAGAGAAAACACAAAACAAUGCAGUAGCUAGUUGAGUGUGUUUGUGUGAGAGAGCCAUGUCUUCUCUGAGUGUGUUCCUGAAGAACGUUCCUGGCUGGUUCCUGUGUGGAGGAGUCUUCCUGCCGGUCACUCUCCUGCUUCUGCUGCUGAUUCUUCACCUGAACCGUAAACUACAGGAAGUGGAGAUGGAACUGUCUGAGGCUCCAGACCUGCGGGAGGCAGCACAGCAACUGCUCUUCAAGCCCAAACACACACACAGUCACAAACACACCCAUGUUCACAGACACACACACUGGCACAGAGAUGCUGAGAAGAAAUCCGCCUUCAGGAUGAGAUGAACUCUAUAGCAUGGCAGAUCAGCAGGACCAGGACUGGACACCUCUGAGAGAGAGACUACAUGCAUUUAUAUGGAGCAUAUCUGGACACAUUUCAACACCAAGUACUCUUGAAGGGACUCUGCAGACCUGGAAGUCAGGUGUUUGGCUUCAUAUGUGGUCAGAGAUGCUGGUAUUGGUUUACAAUAAGCAUGGUCAGGACCUGAAUACAUUAACAGUAAUGACCGUUUUGGACCAUUUUUAUGGAUCCAUAAAUGAAAUCGUGUGAAUGGAUGCAUGCUGCUCUUCUUCAGUUGUCCACCGGGGUGGGUGGGACUUGAGAACACUGUCACACGCACACUUGCUCCUUUGUCUGUAUCCGCCAAGUUAAAAAAAAAAAAAAAAAAAAAAAAAAAAAAAAAAUUAAUUAAUAAUAAAUAAUAAUAAAAAUAAUAAUAAUAAAUAAUAAUAAAAAAAGUUAAUUGAGUGGCCAUUAUAGUUACAGUCAGAAUAAUUAGUUAGAUUACUUGUUACUGAAAAAAGUAAUAGAAAAAAGUAGUAACAUUGUUUAAUUCCAUGCCGUUACUCCCAUCACUGGUGGUCCAACCUUUUCUGAAUGCACAUUCUGGUUAGCUCUUCCAACAGCUCAUCCACAUACUGCUGCUAUCCCAAGAGCUUGUCUUGAAGACACAGAUACAAUACUAUACCAAUGUCAGGAGCAUCUCCAGACCCACCCUCGAUUAAAAUGUGUGUGAUAAAAUGUUCAUGAUGCAUGGGAUGGAUUAUCGCAGGACAGCAUUAGGAACAUUUACAUCUCCAUGCAGAAAUGUGUGGCCUGUUGCAUUAAACAUGUUACACUUGCGAAACUUCAGAUCCAAAAUUGCACAUUACGUUUUUUAAGUGUUUAAAAGAAGGAUUUAGAUUAUUGUACUUCUUUUUAAAGGGACAAAAAGGCCAAUUUGUAAAACUGUAUAGAAACAAUAUUUUGUUAUGUUGUGGCAGCAUGGUGAGAUUUGGUCAUAGUUUGCAAGGUCUGUAUUAUUAUUCAGUUGAAUACUGAACCCUCACUGGGGGGAUUGACAGUAUUGUGAGAUCAUGCAGGAGGGAAGUUGCAUACUGAUCCGUCUUUUACUGCUUAUGAUAAAUUAUAUUUUAUCAUUUGAGUAAAAAGAUGCAGUAUUGCAUUUUGUCUAUUUUUUAUUUGAAACGAAUAAAACACAUUGUUAAAAUCUCUCGUUCUUGUGAGCCUGAUAUUAUGCCUCGUCUCUUAAGACUGUUCCACCAAUUCAGCUGUGCGUCAGCUGUAUAUCCCCCCAUCACUAGUGAUGCCACAACACAAGGAGGGUUAUAUGUGAAGUCAGACACCACCUCUUUUUAGCAUCACAGCGCACUCGGAGGAAAGCUCAGCGCCUCAGUUGUGAUACAUCAGCUCACAGACGACUUGUGCUGGUUGACAUCACCCUUUGGAGUGAUGAGGGGAAAGAGCACCAUCUACCCACCCAGAGAGAGCAAGGCCAAUUGUGCUCUCUCAGGGCUCCGGCAGCUUGAAUUCAAAUAUUGAAUAUCAAUUAAAUUCAAAUAUUUGUAGGCAAAUGUUAGCAGGCAACAAAAGCAGAAACUGGAGUAUUGAUGGAAAAAAUACAAAUGAGACAAUAAUUAGAGAAUAAACAAACUUUUAUUUAAACAGUGUUACACAAAGAGGACAGGAGGUGAUGGUAGGUGGGCGGGGCCAAAAACACAAUUACACAAUUACUCAAGCUGCUAAAAACGAAGGGGUGCGAUUGGCGCCUCUGGUUAGCGGCAAAUAGAAGGGGGGCUAUUUAGAGAAAUAAAAGCAAGAAUACAAGAGAGAUAGUAUGAGAGAGAGCAAGAUAGCACUGGUACCAGGCCAGAGAGGGAGGAGCUUCAUUGAUUUAUCUACAUGUACAAUAAUCCCACUGUGGCAAAUCCAUUUUUUCUUUUGCUUUUCAUCAAAAAAAAAAAAAGAUCAGAAUAUAUUAAAAAUAUUUAAAAGGGGGGAAAACAAACCUAGAUCAUUCAAAAAAGGUCUAAAAUGAUCUGUUUACACACAAGACAGAAUUCAUUAAAAUAUCAGAGAAAAUAAUCUUUUGAUUAUUGGUAUCAGAAAUUUGUGUAGGAAAAGCAAAAUGUGUUAAAAAGCUGCCCAGAGUUUUAAGAAUUUUUCUUUUUUUUCUGGAUUUUUUAAUGGAGUUUUUAUUACAUAUUUUCCCUAAAAGAGGUAGACAAAGUGCACCUCCCAGUGGUGGAAUGUUUGUGUGUUUGUUUGUUUGUUUGACUGCAUAGAGGAAGGAUUGGCACUGUUGUGCGAGUAGAGGAAAUAAAAACCGUGCCUCCGAGUCUCAAGCUGGUCCCUUAAGAAGAGAUUAUGAAUACGUUAAUCUGAAGUCGAGCCCCUUCUCCUGACCAACAUUAAACCCUCCCUAUCCCCUUACAAAAUGCUCAGAGAUCAUAAAUCAUUUUUAAUAUGCAUGUAAAUAGACCGCCCACCUAGUUUUUAUUUUAUUUUAUUUUACAAAGUGUUCAUUCAUAGCUAAUAGAAAUCCCCUAUGACUGGAUUGUAAAAUUCAUCUUUUUAAGCUUACCCUCUCCAGAUCUGUCCCCCUCUGAACGUGCUAGGAAUGUGAAUCACUGCUAUAACAAUAAUAAAAAAAAAAAAAGAAUU